AUUGAACGCUGGCGGCAGGCUUAACACAUGCAAGUCGAGCGGGGUGAUGGUGCUUGCACUAUCACUUAGCGGCGGACGGGUGAGUAAUGCUUAGGAAUCUGCCUAUUAGUGGGGGACAACAUCUCGUAAGGGAUGCUAAUACCGCAUACGUCCUACGGGAGAAAGCAGGGGAUCACUUGUGACCUUGCGCUAAUAGAUGAGCCUAAGUCGGAUUAGCUAGUUGGUGGGGUAAAGGCCUACCAAGGCGACGAUCUGUAGCGGGUCUGAGAGGAUGAUCCGCCACACUGGGACUGAGACACGGCCCAGACUCCGACGGGAGGCAGCAGUGGGGAAUAUUGGACAAUGGGGGGAACCCUGAUCCAGCCAUGCCGCGUGUGUGAAGAAGGCCUUAUGGUUGUAAAGCACUUUAAGCGAGGAGGAGGCUCUUUUGGUUAAUACCCAAGAUGAGUGGACGUUACUCGCAGAAUAAGCACCGGCUAACUCUGUGCCAGCAGCCGCCGUAA
rnacentral:rRNA from 1 species